rnacentral:rRNA from 1 species
GGAUUAGAUACCCUGGUAGUCCUAGCCGUAAACGAUGAGCACUAGGUAGGGGGGAUUCUAACGUCUUCCCUGCUGCAGCUAAUGUGUUAAGUGCUCCGCCUGGGGAGUAUGGUCGCAAGGCUAAAACUCAAAGGAAUUGACGGGGGCUCACACAAGCGGUGGAGCAUGUGGUUUAAUUCGAAACAACGCGCAGAACCUUACCUGGGUUUGACAUGCUAGGAUUAACCCUGUGAAAGCAGGGCUACGCGGGUAACCGUGGAACUAGCACAGGUGCUGCAUGGCUGUCGUCAGCUCGUGUUG